GUCCAGCCUUCAGCCCGGUUCGGUUUCUAGGUUGGACCCAGGGCAACUCCAGCCGUUUCCAGACCCGGCUUCGGAAAAGAAAUGAUCAAAUAAAGCCUCGAAAGCUCCUGAGGUAAAAGCCGCAGAGGAUCUGAGCGGGACGGCCCAGCCCCUCCGGAGGCAGCGAGCGCGUGGAGGCGGUGGCUCCGGCUCAGGAAAGAGAGAAGCUGACAAGAAAAGCCACUCUUCUUGUUUCCAUCUCCACAGUGGAAGAAAUGCCCUCUUUUUUAGUUAAGAAAACAGAGAGUCAAAAGAAGAUGGGAGACCUCUGCACACUCAAUCAGGAAAUUCCUGGAAUACCAGACUGUUUCCAUCAAUGUGGGUCAGCACAUCUGUAAUAACUCACAUCUCCAGGAUGUUUACUGACAUCAUUAUAGCCUCAUCACUCAGC
rnacentral:lncRNA from 1 species